rnacentral:rRNA from 1 species
GACGAACGCUGGCGGCGUGCUUAACACAUGCAAGUCGAACGGUGAAGCGCCUCCCUUUUUGGUGGGUGUGGAUGAGUGGCGAACGGGUGAGUAACACGUGAGUAACCUGCCCCCUUCUUCUGGAUAACCGCGUGAAAGUGUGGCUAAUACGGGAUAUUCUGGGUCUGUCGCAUGAUGGGUCUGGGAAAGAUAUUGUUUCGGUGGGGGAUGGGCUCGCGGCCUAUCAGCUUGUUGGUGGGGUGAUGGCCUACCAAGGCGGUGACGGGUAGCCGGCCUGAGAGGUGGGCCGGCAAAACGGGGACGGGGACAGGGCCCGGAUUCCAACGGGAGGCAGCAGUGGGGAAUAUUGCACAAUGGGCGCAAGCCUGAUGCAGCGACGCCGCGUGAGGGAUGGAGGCCUUCGGGUUGUGAACCUCUUUCGCCAGUGAAGCAGGCCUGCCUCGUUUGUGGGUGGGUUGACGGUAGCUGGAUAAGAAGCGCCGGCUAACUACGUG